GCUGGAGUGGUGGAAUUGGCAGACACACCAUCUUGAGGGGGUGGCGCCCGUAAGGGUAUGUGGGUUCAAGUCCCACCUUCAGCA
rnacentral:tRNA from 4 species